rnacentral:lncRNA from 1 species
GGACAGUCCAUGCAGAAAAAGGGAGCAGAUUUCUUGUGAAAGGGAGUUCUGUGGGGGAAGGAACUUCUAUUCCAGGUGGAGGGGAGCAGAUUCCAGGUCCUGGCCAUCCCUGGGGAGAAAGGGAGCUCCAUUCCCUGCACGUGGAGAGGCUCCUGAGGAGAUUUCCUGCUGGGUCUGGGUUAUGUUGGUUCACUUUGGCUCCUGCCCUGGAUGCCACUUCCAUGACAUCACUUGGCCGUGGCAGCGUGGAGGAGGGCUGUUUGGAUCUUCCUGCUGGAUGGUGCCUUGAGGGUCUCACACUGCCUGGAUGGAGCUGCUUUUCCUGGGAUAAAUUCUGCUGGACAGACAUUAGAAUCUGAUGUGACUUUUGCCAGGAUGGCCGAGGAGGUGAGGAGGGAUGUGCCUGAUCCCUGGGGAUUGCUGCAAAUCCUGCAAAGCAGGAGUUUUCCCAGCUCUGCCCUGGCAGCCCCAUGGAUCAGGAGCUCCAUCCCAGGGUGAGCAGAUCCUCAGCGGGGCUGGCAAACUUUAACCACCAGAGCCCGUUUUUUAUUAACCUGAAUUUCCUCCCGCUUCCCCCAUUACCUCUGCAGAAAAGAAUCUGACCCCGAGCUCUCAGCAUCACCUUCAGGGUUUGUUUUUUUUUUUGUUUUUCCUACAUUUUCCUCCCCUUCUCCCCGCUGCUGCUUCGUGCUUUGGGUGAAACUCUGCAAACCCUUGUCCCUGCUCCCUCCUGCCUUUGUCAGGCUCCUGGGAGCGCUUUGGGGCUGGCACAGCAGCGGCUUUAAGCCCGUCAGAGGAGCCUCUUAAUUAAAUUUGAAAAGUGCUGGGCUAAGAGGGUUUGCUGGGGCAGUCAGGUGCUGGGCCAUGGGCCUGAAGCGCUGCCACAGGCUUGCACUACCUCCCACAGCCCUGAUCCCCGGGCCAUGUGCCCAGAUUAGGGAGAAAUCCCUCAGAAACGGGGGCUUUUAACUCCUUCCAGCUCCAGGGGGUUCUCCAGGUGCUGCUUGGAGAGGGGACAGGGACAGCACCUGUCCUGCGCCCUCCUGAGAGCCACAGCUCAG